GGUCCUGACACCCUCUCCCAACCUUAUCCGCACGCCGUUCUAACCUCGCACCCAUGCCACCCCCUCCCCGGGCAGCAGGCGCCGCAGACGCCACCUCCCUCCCCCGGCAGUAGGUGUCGUCGCCCACACCUCCUUCCGCCGGCAGAAGCACUGCCGCCCCCAUCUCCCUCCCCGCCAGACGCACCGCCGGCCCCAACUUCCUCCCCGGCAGACGCGCCAUCGCGACUCCACCUCCAGGCCGGGUCGCCACGCGCCUCCACCUCCCGGCUUCACGGCGCUGCCCCGUCGGCCUCCUCCGGCGGCCCCGUCGCCGUCCUUCUCCUGGAGCCCCGGCGGCUUCCGUCGUGCGCGCCAAUCAGGCCACACGGCCACCCCCGUCGCCCUAGCAUGCUUGCUUGGUGGAGACUAGGAGCAGCGACAGAGAUGCCGCUCCGCGGCCGAACCCCUGCCUCCACUUGGCUCCGUCCGCUGCAGCACACCGCCGCUCCCCGUCGCCCACCUGCCAUGUUCAUGUCCACAGCUACACCUUACAAACAAGGAGGCUUUGAAAAAAACCCAGGAUGUACAAACUUGACAGUUCAAGCUACAAAUGGAGCGUUCCAUGCAGCAACAUCGACCCAACGGGCAUACGAUGGCCGACGACGGCUGGGUUUGGCGUGCGUCUCUCCGGCGUGCUGGGCGUGGUGCCGAGAGUGCUGCAAUUCGAAGUGGCUGGGCAUUAAAUUUUAGAGAUUGCUUUUUUAGUACAUUCAGGGAAGUUGCUUUCUUCCUUUUUGCAUUUUGUCUAUGCACAUACUUAGUUCAGACUUCAGAGUGGUUCUGACCUUGGCUCCUCUCACCUGAACACUUGCACCAUUUGUAAAAGAUACAUAAAAUGAGUGUCGUAACUAGCAUUCAAAAAUGAAUCCAGAAUAAGUAGGAAGACACCACAACCUCAUCCACGGGUUCCAGUAGCUCAAGCUUUUAAGAAAAUACAUUUGACACGAAGCUUUAUUCAUACAGUUGUAAUAGUUUUUGAAGUAAUUUUAUCACUUCUGUAGCUUUGCUAUUUUUUUUGAAAUGCUUUGUUUUGCAUAACAAUUGCUUUGGCAGUAGCAAAAAGAAGUUUUCUCUGGUGGCAAGGGGCCAUGCAGGCUGUUUUGUUACUUGCAAGGGACCAUGCAAGGACCUAUCCAGCCGCUAAACCACAACCGCUUCUGGUCCGGCCGCCAUCAACACACACCGCCACGGCCUACUGCUGACACGCCCGCGCCUCCCCGAAGUCCAGGUUGUUCCCCGAGCGAACGUGCACCCUCAACUCUCUAGUGCCUGAGAAGCCACAUGGAAGCCCAAUCGUGCGUGCGUUGGUGUCCCCAGAAUUCGUCAUGGAGGUUUUGAUUAGUCUGGGUUGGUUUCUGGCAUGCAAAUUUCACUCACUACACGUUCACUCACAACAAUAACUAUCUUGUUUCAGAUGCAGCGUCGGGCUGUUAUAACAACUUGUGUAGUAAGUAUAUCAGAGUAGCUAGCUUUGUGGAUCCUUCUCAGCAUUGCCACUCGCCUGGUUAUAUUGUCACUAAUUUACUAAUAAAUCAAGAUCCUCCUCACUGACAGGUCACUCCCCACUGCUCUGCUCCGUGGCGGAUCCUCCUCUGACCGGCUUCCCCCACCACUACUGCAAUACCUCCUGACUACCCCCUGCGUCACCGGCAGCCGCGGUGGUCUGCUCCUCCCGGAUUGCACUCAUCAGCAGGUCAAACACAAAGCUCGUGGCAGGUCGACUAAAGAAGUUGGAGCAAAAAAGGAGGCACAAAAAAGUCAUUACAGCAUCAUCCUUUGAAGAAAGAACAGAGAGCGUCCAGGUGGUUGGUUUCUGACCACCGAGAACAGUUUUGGGCUUUUGGCAAUUGUUUUGCUUUCUUAAAACUGUUAGCAAUUGAAACCAAUGUCUUGGGUUUGAAAAAAGAUAUAUGUUUGCCCAUUACUGAAACCCUAGCUCUGAGCAUGUUAAAACUUGCUUAUGAGAAUUGACCCCAAUUUUCCUA